AUUGAACGCUGGCGGAAUGCUUUACACAUGCAAGUCGAACGGUAGAGGGGGCAACCCCUUGAGAGUGGCGAACGGGUGAGUAAUAUAUCGGAACGUGCCCAGUCGUGGGGGAUAACGUAGCGAAAGUUACGCUAAUACCGCAUACGAUCUAAGGAUGAAAGCGGGGGAUCGCAAGACCUCGCGCGAUUGGAGCGGCCGAUAUCAGAUUAGGUAGUUGGUGAGGUAAAGGGCUCACCAAGCCAACGAUCUGUAGCUGGUCUGAGAGGACGACCAGCCACACUGGAACUGAGACACGGUCCAGACUCCUACGGGAGGCAGCAGUGGGGAAUUUUUGGACAAUGGACGCAAGUCUGAUCCAGCCAUUCCGCGUGCAGGAUGAAGGGCCCUCGGGUUGUAAACUGCUUUUUGUACGGAACGAAAAGGUUUCUAUUAAUACUAGUAGCUCAUGACGGUACCGUAAGAAUAAGCACCGGCUAACUACGUGCCAGC
rnacentral:rRNA from 1 species